rnacentral:ncRNA from 1 species
CUUAUCAAGAGCGGUGGAGGGAACGGCCCGAUGAAACCCGGCAACCUGGCGGAAGCUAAGGUGCCAAAUCCGGCGGCAGACGAAAGAUGAG